GACCCUAACGGGAAGUAACAGCAAAGGCCGUUAGUAACCCUAGACCCGGGGAAAACUUUAUGAAAUAAUUUUUAGGACCUCAGAAAAGGAUUAUUGGGGUCUCAAUGACAAUAAAAUACUAGCACUAAAAAAUGUGGAGUGAUUUAAAAAAAAAAGAAAUAUAACUAGACACAAUAAAGAACAAUUUUGAUGAAAAACAUUUGGCCAAAUUCUCACUGU
rnacentral:misc_RNA from 1 species